AGCAGCCGCGGUAAUUCCAGCUCCAAUAGCGUAUAUUAAAGUUGUUGCAGUUAAAAAGCUCGUAGUUGAAUUUCGGGGUUAGUAGGUUGGUCAUGCCUCUGGUAUGUACUGGUCUCACUGAUUCCUCCUUCCUGAUGAGCCGUAAUGCCAUUAAUUUGGUGUUGCGGGGAAUUUGGACUGUUACUUUGAAAAAAUUAGAGUGUUUAAAGCAAGCUAACGCUUGAAUACAUUAGCAUGGAAUAAUGAAAUAGGACGUUCGAUCCUAUUUUGUUGGUUUCUAGGAUUGACGUAAUGAUUAAUAGGGAUAGUUGGGGGCAUUAGUAUUCAAUUGUCAGAGGUGAAAUUCUUGGAUUUAUUGAAGACUAACUACUGCGAAAGCAUUUUGCCAAGGAUGUUUUCAUUAAUCAAGAACGAAAGUUAGGGGAUCGAAGACGAUCAGAUACCGUCGUAGUCUUAACCAUAAACUAUGCCGACUAGGGAUCGGAUGAUGUUAAUUUUUUCAAUGACUCAUUCGGCGCCU
rnacentral:misc_RNA from 2 species